rnacentral:sRNA from 1 species
GCCGGGCGUUGUGGCGGGCGCCUGUGGUCCCAGCUACUUGGGAGGCGGAGGCAGGAGACUCGCUUGAGCCCAGGAGUUGGAGGUUGCUGUGAGCUGUAAUGCCAUGGCACUCUGCCCAGGGGGACAGCUUGAGGCUCUGUCUCAAAAAAAAAAAAAAAGAAACAGAGUCUCACUUUGUCACCCUCGGUAGUGUGCCAUUAUGUCACAGCUCAUAGCAACCUCCAACUCCUGGGCUUAGGCAAUUCCCUUGCCU